rnacentral:rRNA from 1 species
CCUACGGGAUGCAGCAGUGAGGAAUAUUGGUCAAUGGCCGGAAGGCUGAACCAGCCAUGCCGCGUGAAGGUCAGUGCCCUAUGGGCGUUAAACUUCUUUUGUGCGGGAGCAAUAAUGGUCACGUGUGGCCAGACGAGAGUACCGUACGAAUAAGCAUCGGCUAACUCCGUGCCAGCAGCCGCGGUAAUACGGGGGAUGCAAGCGUUAUCCGGAUUUAUUGGGUUUAAAGGGUGCGUAGGCUGUGAGGUAAGUCAGCGGUGAAAUGCCCCCGCUCAACGGGGUGAAGUGCCAUUGAUACUGCCUGGCUGGAAUGCGGAUGCCGUGGGAGGAAUGUGUGGUGUAGCGGUGAAAUGCAUAGAUAUCACACAGAACACCGAUUGCGAAGGCAUCUCACGAAUCCGCGAUUGACGCUGAUGCACGAAAGCGUGGGUAUCAAACAGGAUUAGAUACCCGGGUAGUC